UCUCCGUUGGUGAACCAGCGGAGGGAUCAUUGCUGGAACGCGCUUCGGCGCACCCAGAAACCCUUUGUGAACUUAUACCUAUUGUUGCCUCGGCGUAGGCCGGCUUUUUCUAAAAGCCCCCUGGAAACAGGGAGAAGCCCGCCGGCGGCCAACCAAACUCUUGUUUCUACAGUGAAUCUCUGAGUAAAAAACAUAAAUGAAUCAAAACUUUCAACAACGGAUCUCUUGGUUCUGGCAUCGAUGAAGAACGCAGCGAAAUGCGAUAAGUAAUGUGAAUUGCAGAAUUCAGUGAAUCAUCGAAUCUUUGAACGCACAUUGCGCCCUCUGGUAUUCCGGAGGGCAUGCCUGUUCGAGCGUCAUUUCAACCCUCAAGCCUGGCUUGGUGAUGGGGCACUGCCUGUAAAAGGGCAGGCCCUGAAAUCUAGUGGCGAGCUCGCCAGGACCCCGAGCGUAGUAGUUAUAUCUCGCUCUGGAAGGCCCUGGCGGUGCCCUGCCGUUAAACCCCCAACUUCUGAAAAUUUGACCUCGGAUCAGGUAGGAAUACCCGCUGAACUUAAGC
rnacentral:rRNA from 1 species